rnacentral:rRNA from 1 species
AGUCGAGCGGGGAAAGGUAGCUUGCUACCGGACCUAGCGGCGGACGGGUGAGUAAUGCUUAGGAAUCUGCCUAUUAGUGGGGGACAACAUCUCGAAAGGGAUGCUAAUACCGCAUACGUCCUACGGGAGAAAGCAGGGGAUCUUCGGACCUUGCGCUAAUAGAUGAGCCUAAGUCGGAUUAGCUAGUUGGUGGGGUAAAGGCCUACCAAGGCGACGAUCUGUAGCGGGUCUGAGAGGAUGAUCCGCCACACUGGGACUGAGACACGGCCCAGACUCCUACGGGAGGCAGCAGUGGGGAAUAUUGGACAAUGGGCGCAAGCCUGAUCCAGCCAUGCCGCGUGUGUGAAGAAGGCCUUAUGGUUGUAAAGCACUUUAAGCGAGGAGGAGGCUACUUUAGAUAAUACCUAGAGAUAGUGGACGUUACUCGCAGAAUAAGCACCGGCUAACUCUGUGCCAGCAGCCGCGGUAAUACAGAGGGUGCAAGCGUUAAUCGGAUUUACUGGGCGUAAAGCGCGCGUAGGCGGCUAAUUAAGUCAAAUGUGAAAUCCCCGAGCUUAACUUGGGAAUUGCAUUCGAUACUGGUUAGCUAGAGUGUGGGAGAGGAUGGUAGAAUUCCAGGUGUAGCGGUGAAAUGCGUAGAGAUCUGGAGGAAUACCGAUGGCGAAGGCAGCCAUCUGGCCUAACACUGACGCUGAGGUGCGAAAGCAUGGGGAGCAAACAGGAUUAGAUACCCUGGUAGUCCAUGCCGUAAACGAUGUCUACUAGCCGUUGGGGCCUUUGAGGCUUUAGUGGCGCAGCUAACGCGAUAAGUAGACCGCCUGGGGAGUACGGUCGCAAGACUAAAACUCAAAUGAAUUGACGGGGGCCCGCACAAGCGGUGGAGCAUGUGGUUUAAUUCGAUGCAACGCGAAGAACCUUACCUGGCCUUGACAUAGUAAGAACUUUCCAGAGAUGGAUUGGUGCCUUCGGGAACUUACAUACAGGUGCUGCAUGGCUGUCGUCAGCUC